CUCUCUCCUCUCUCCUCUCUCCUCUCUCCUCUCUCUCCUCUCUCCUCUCCUCUCUCUCCUCUCUCUCCUCUCUCUCUUCUCUCUCCUCACAUCUAGUUAUUCAUUAGCUGGUUUGGCACUUGCUUUUCUUUUUCAGCACAUUGCUGGUGAUAGGACACUGCUUUGGGCCUAAAGCAGAAGGUUCUCUGUUUGUGGAGCUGGCCAGGGUCAAGCUGUGAGGGGCAGGAUGUGCCUCCCUGGGGAAUGUUGGAGAGAGGUGUAAGCCAGGGUCCCUCUUCCUGUCUCAGGAGGGCUGAACAGGGCACAUGAUUGGAAUCAUUUGCUGGUGUCAUGGCUCUAAAGCAAACGGUGACCAGGAGCAGGAAGGAAGCAGACCUGGAGCUAGUCUACACGGAAUGUUAAUCUGGAGUAACUUUUGAAUUUGAUUGAUUCCAUUUUACUCCCAAAGUAAAUUAUAGUAUAUCAUAUUAACACUACUUACAUAUUUAAUGAAAGCAUCCACAUUGGGAUUGAAUGCAGUUUAAGUAAUCUGCUUUUAAUAGACACCAUGUAUAAUUUGAAUUAUUUUUCCUCUGCAUUCCUGUGUAUGCAAACCCUCCAGGGCACUGUCUUUUUGGCACUGUGCCUCUGGGGUGAUGCCUCUCACACAGAUUUCCUUAUGUGGAGCAUUGUCUAACACCAGAUAUCACCCAUAAGGUUUUUAUAUCUUCAUUAACUACUACACAGAUGCUGCAGUGCCCAUCUAACAUGGGUGCAUUUAGCAUCACUGACAGCCUCUGGCUAAGAUAAUUGUCAAAACAGAGAAGCUUACGCUAGGCAUGGAUAAAUCGCAUUUUAUUUACAUGAAUUGCUUGUACUCUAAGCUUGCUCUGUUCAUUCUACUAAAAUUAACUUGUAGAAGAACUGGAAAAUUCUGCCAGUUGUGACGCUGUGCUGUUGCACUGCUGUGUGCAGCAACAACCUUGCUGAGGCCACUACUAAAACACAACAUAUGGGUUGUAUCUGCUGAGGGGUUGAUCCCAGACUGAUGCAUUGAAGUUGAUUAUCUUCUUUUCCCCCUCAUCCCCUCCUGGGAUAAAUCCAUAGUUUUAACCUGCAGGCAGAUGAGAUAUCCCAGUGCAGAGUCCAGCUUACUGCUUGCAGAAGGCAGCAGAGCUGCUCCGUGUGCCAGCCUGCAGAUACCACCGUGGGCUUGAAUGCUUGGGAACCCACUUGCCUCUCCAAAAAGGUCAGGUAAUCCAUAGGGAAACAACUGGCCAGAAACAAAAACUUGCACCUUCAGUGACUGCCCUUUACCCUGAGUCAGAUUUUAUUAUCUCAAACAGUACAGAAAAAUCAGAAAAAUAACAGUGCAUUUAAAAUUUUAUUUCCCCUUUGGGUGAAUUUAUAGCACAUCUCUUCCAAGCACGUAUAUGUGUGUAUAUACACAUGUGAGUUUGUACUUAUAUAUACACACAUAUAUAUACAAGAACUGACCAGAUUUUGAAAGCAUUUAGCAAUAAGUUGAAUUACAGUAGCUUCUAGCACAUCUGUCAGUCGUGUGAAUAGCUCAUUUUCCACAGCACCCUCGAGCUCAGUGUAAGUUUGCACACAGGCAUUGUCUUUGCAUAGGAGCCUUCAUGUCUCACCCUUGCCAGUUCUGUUGUAUGGGCAAAAAGGGAACCUGCUAUAUUUGGAUGUAAAUAGCGAGAAUUGAACAGAGAAUUUUCAGAAUUUUUAUAAGUGUUUUUAAAAAAAUUCAGCGCCAGAACUGUAAAUAUGCCAACCUCAGCUGGACCUGUUCUGAUGUCCAUCUCUUGUUUGGAUGAAGAGCCAAGGGGACUGCCUUACAGCGCCUGCGUUCCUCCCAGCCAGUGGGGGAGAACACUUCUGUGAAUGGUUAAAUACUGUCAUGUACCCAACUUUCUUUGGGUCAUUCACAUCAGGGCUUUGUGAUGCUGCUAUUAAUUUAUUAAAGAAAGUUUGUUGGUUUAAUCAUUCUUCUUUUUUUUUUUUUUUUUAUGGUUAUCAGAAAAUAAAUAAGUGAACAUGCCCUCUCUUUCUUUCAUCUGUCCCCAGUUAAAAUAUGUCCUGAUCAAAAAACCAAAUCAAUAACAAAAGAGGAUAAGGAUGUAUACUUAAAGUAUGGCCCACAGCUGCUGAAUCACAGGAAUUAGUGUCAGCAGAUGUCCCAACACUCCCAACCCCAAAACUUGUUAAAUGUGAAAGCAGUGAUAGACUAUUCUCCCUCUUCAAAUUGCUCCCUCCAGGAAUAACUGUUAAAAUUUACAAUUUUUAAACUACGUAAAUUUGAAGAAUCAAUUUAGUUCUCUGAAACUUAACCAAAGUCAAGUUGUCCCCACAGCUCCCUUGCUUCUCCUGAGAUGUAGCCAUUCUGGUGCCUCCAGAAGCCCUGCCUGGGGCUGUCCUGCGGGAACACCUGCUGGAAGCUCUGUGUGAGUCCUCAAAUCUCAGCUCAGAUGGAGCUGUGUGAGUGGGCUCACGGGACAGCACACACGCAACAAACAGACCACCCCCUUUGACUUGCACUGGAGAAUCUGCUCCUGGGGGCAGCCCAGGUUGGAACUGGUGUUUUCCUGAGCUGUAGGGCCUUGCAGUCUUCCCUGCCUGAGGCCAGAAGCAAGGCUGGCCAUGGUGUACAAAACCUCAUGGCUGGGCAGUCUGGUUUCCAGACCUGAGCUGGCUCAUCUGCAUCUGUUCAUGUUGCCCCACACAGCCAGGUCUGGGGUGUAGCAUCCGUGAGAUCAGCCAUGGUGGCUUUGGGGACCUGUGUGAGCCUCACAGACUGUGCUUUGAGGAGAAGGCCUGCUCCUCCCUGUGCUUGCUGAAGAUAAGAGCAGAUACCCAGAGGCUGUAGCAUUUGGGAGGCGAGAGGGUUCAGAGCCAAUGCUGAGGAGUCUCAAGGCAUCCCACCUCAGCACGGCUCUCUAUUGUCUGAACAACUAGACACUCAUGUCAAUCCUUAGAGCAAUUCUUCUGGAGAGCCCUGCGAAGAGUUUCAUCACUGGUGUGGAGUGUGUCCAGUUCUCUUUCCAGUCAGCAUCCGAGGUGUUGGAGCCAUGAGGGCCCUGGAUACGGAGACCCAAAUUCCAAAGAAGAAACAUCUUUUAAGGAAGAAAAGCAAACCACAAGCAGCCCUUCAGAAAUAUCGUUUAACUUUGAGCUCAUGAAGGGUGUCUGAUACUGCAGCAGACAAAUUGUGCAUUCCAAAAGCAGAGCCCGUCAUGUGACAAAGGAGCAGAUGUCUCUUGGAUGGCUUUCCUCUCUGUGUCACAGUAUCAUCAGGAUAGCUACAUGCCAAGAACUGCACUUGGCUUUGUCUCCAUUUCGGGGGCGGAAAAGGCAUCAGAAGCUUUUUCCUGGGAAAAGGCACGCAAAGACCACCAAGCCUUGAGCAGGUGAAGCAGGAGGACAGAGAUAGACAGAUGUGUGCUCGCAUCUGUGCACAUGAACACACACACCCCAGAGACCCCAGAGAGCCACAGGAGAUGUCAUCACACUUUAGUCUUCUCUUGAUAAAAUGGGAGUAUCUGAAAAGCCGGGGAGGAAACCUGUGACAGGGAGAUCAAAUUCUCAGGUCUUCUGCUUGUUUGUUUUUCACACACUGAAACCUGUGCUCUGAAGCUGUCCGAAAACAUCUCUGUGAUGUGCCCUUCCCUCUCAGCUGUGCAGGGAUGCUGCAAUCCCAUAACAACAUGGAGAUGGGGAGGCUUCAGCUAGAACAUUUUCUGUGACAUUCUGGGGAGGAAGACUUCAGUGCCUCUCCUGUGGAGCCCGCACUUCCCAAAGAUCAUGACACUGCUCAAAGCAACAGAGAAGUGCAAAUUCCCAGCAGAGAUCUCAGCUGUGUUGGGGGUUCCUUCCCUACAGGCACCAGUAAUUCAUGUCCCAGAAGGUGUCCAGAGAAGAUCCACAGGUUGCAGUGACUCACCAGUGAAGCCGUGGCAAGGUGUACUGAAGACAAAGCUGCCUGCAUCCUGCACCAGGCUGUCCUGUGAGAGCAUUCAGCAAAGUGCAGGGAUGAGUUACUGACUGCAACACAGCCGGUGGUGCAGCCAACCAUGGUCAGCAGUGGUGGUUUUCCUUUGCCAGACCUUCACCCCUUACCUUAAGGGUAAAUAAAUGUGAUUCCCUGUUGGUUUGUAGGUAGCUGAUACUUUUGCUUUAAAGAAUAGGUGGGACUCUGUGUUGGGCCUGAGCAGCAGCCCUGGUGAUAGGCACGGUGUGAGGACACAAGGGCCUUAUGAGAAAAGAGCAGAAACCUUGGCUUUUUCCUCCUAGCAGCCAAAGAUGGGCAAAAAAGGCUCUCCAUCAGGAUAUCGGGGAGUUCUUGUUCUGACUAAGGAGAGAGAGGAGCUAUUUAAGCUAGAGGAAGGCACUGAUAUACAGAAAGGGCAGAAAUAAAGUAAGAAUUAGAAGCAGGUUUCUAACAAGUGGGGCAUUCCAAGUCUGGGACUGCACUUCCAGGUGAGGCAGCAGUAACAGCAACUGAAAUGCUUAGUGAGGGCUCAGCUCUUGCAUUCACACAGGAAUUUAUCCCCUAGGUACAGCAGGAGGGCCCAAGUCAGCCCACUUGUCCUCAUCCUCUGGUUUGGCAGAGCCCAGGCACCAAGCCAGCCAUCUGCACAGCAGCACCUCCCCAGGGACACGUCCCAAAAUGUGGGAAGAACAAACAUCCUGAGAAAAAAAUGCUAUUUUUGGGCUAUGGUCCUUCCAAGUUAUAGCAAAGCCACGAAAAAUGCCACAAUUUUGGAGGAAGGCAGGUGAGGCCGUGCCAAGUCAGCGCAUCUCCCACACGCAGGACAAGAUGAAGUCAAGGCAUUGCGAAGGCUGCGUGUUCUCAGCCCUGAGCCAGCCUCAAACUGUGUGAGGCAGUAUUUCACUUGCAUUCUCAGAAGCAUCCAGAAUCAGCCAGCUUGGCUAGCCCAGGCCUGGCUGCAUGCAGUCACGUCAGUGUGUUUUGUUUAUACAACAGCAUUUUCGUGGACAUUUGGUGUUACUGGAGAUAGUCUCAGUCUGCUCAGGAGAGCCACAACACUGAGGUAAUACCCUUUUGGGCUGCCUUCAGCUGGUGUGGUUGAACAAACACUGGUGAGAAGCUUUCAGGGCUGACCCUGCUUUGUGCUUGCACUGCCUGACUUUUAAAACACUUUUCUUUGUUGCUGUAGCCAGGAACUUCAGGCUUUUGCUUCAGUAAAGUAAAUUGUGCUGUUGGUCUUUUAAGCUCUCCAUUGUUAAGAGUGAACUUUGCUGAACCUGGCAGGCAACAAGGUUAUUGUUUUCUCAGUGUGAGUGUUUCUAAAUGAAUUGGCAUCACAGGCACAAACUUCUGGGGAGCUACCAGCCAAGAUCAAUUUGAGAGUCCCAAAGGUUGGGACAUAUUUCCAUUUCAACAGUUAAGAGCUGGAACAUCAUCAGAUAAAAGGCAAGGUCUAUUCUCUUCUGGGCUUCAUGCCUCAGGUGGGGACCUCUUGGUGGCACAAUGACUCAGGCUCCCUGGGCAGCCCUGGCUUUGCAGUCAGACCCUGUUGGGAUGUUUGGAUACCUAGAGACAGGAUGGGAUCCUGUGUCUGCUGUCUCUGUUUCCUUCUCCUGUGUAAAUUUUCUGUAGCCAUUUUAUGCUACGCUCACCUCACGUCAGGCCACUGCCUGGUUGCAUUUGUUAAAAUUUAGAGCAGCUUCACAUCUGCGUGUGCUGCUGGUGUUGGUGUCUUCUGCAGGAGAGCUGUUGCUCUGGGUGGUUUAACACACUGUGGGCAUCUGUUUGCUGUUACUUGUGUGCCAUGGCCAUGCAGGGAGAGUGCCUGGGGAGGGUGGCAUGGCCAAGAGCAGCCUUGGAGAGAGGCUUUAAUCCCUAGGAAGAUCAGGCUCUGCAUGUUUGUCUGCUAUGCAUGUUUUCUCCACUACCGCAUGAAUUCCAGUGAAGAGUAUUCUGCCACCCUUUGUUUGUUUUUAAAUCACAAAGGUAUUUAGGCAACAUUAAAGGAAGGUAUUCCCUGGUUUGUAAAAACCCCUGAUUUUAAGUACUUUUUUUUUUCCCCAAAUGAAAAUAACUCCUGCAAGUCACUGGUGCUUUGGUGAGGUGGGAAAUCCAAGCACACCAAAGGUGUGACAUGCCUUUGUCACCUCCAUUCACAGCUUCUCAGGCAAGGAAACAAAAAACAUCGUUUUUGGAUGAUCACUGAUGGUCAUGGCUCAAAUCCCCUCACUGCAACUGCAGGAACGUUUCCCACCUUCCAUCAAAGGCAAGGCAGGGCAACCUCAUUUGGCAUCUCAGAGAAGCCAGAGGUGCUGUGCAGGCUGUCCUUGCUAUCAGAGAUGAGUGCAGGCACCACUGGGGACCACAGCAGCGCUGCUACCGUGCUCAUCCAGCCUCCCAGCUUAAGGAAGCACCCACAUUGAGCUCUCCCUGCAGUGAGACCCACUUAAACACUGAGAUUGUCUCUUGGGCAGACCCAUCAAGAAAGCAAAUAUCAAAACCAUGUUUAAUAUUUUUAAAUUAGUUAUUAGUUGCCUUUUUUUUUUUUUUUUUAAAUGUGUUUAAUGGUGUAAAACUUGCUGAAAUGGCGUUUUAUUUCCUGAAUGUAGCAGUCUUGUGUUGUGUCUGGAUGCAGAUCCACACAGGAGGCAAGCAGCCCAGGAUGGCAAGGACAUGAAUCCUUAAUUUUGGGCUAAGCCUUGUGGUGUCUGUCAUUUUUCAGCUGGUUGUUUUAUCUCUCCAUACUCUAGGAAGAGUAUCUUGACACAGACAGUUUGCAGAGCAAUUUCAGCUGUUCGGACGGCUCAGCCACAAUAUGUUGCCUCAAAUUGUUCUGUUAAGCACAUGCAUCAGCUGUAUUUGUUUGCCUUGAAGCUGUGAAAACCAGAGACCCUCCUGAGAAAAUUUAGCUCCUACAUAGAAAUAAAGAGAUUGAAAAUGCUCUCAAAUGUACAAAUGCCGCACAAGGCAGCGAGCUGCAAACCUGCCAUGGCCUGUGAAGCUCUUUAGAUUAUAUCAUUAGCUACUGCAUCCCAAAGCCUUGACAUCUAGAAGCUGCAGCCAGAAGGGCUGUGCUGUCCUUCCAAGAUCUAGGCACUCCCUGGAGCUGCAGUGGCUCAGGGAUGGGUGCUGAGAUCCAUGGUGGCUCAGGGGUGAAGGAGCUGGUGCCAGAGUGAGGCAGGGACACACAGCAGGGCAGGGCCAAACCUCCAGUUUGGGCUGGUGGGACAUUUCUGAGGGUGCUCAGUGCCUUGAGCAUGGGGGAGGGCAGCAGCAAGGGCUGGUUUUGGCUGGCAUGUACCCUGGGAGAUGCAGAUCUGGGCAGUGUAGCAGCACUGGGCCAUGGUGACGAUGCCACGAGGCACAAGGCGAUGUUACCCCUCAGUCACACCCGAGCUGAAUGAUGGAGCAAAGGGGUGACACCUCUCUGCUUAGCAGGACAGAAAGAACAGGACUCUUUCUAACGGUGACAGAGCCAUUAUCCCCCCCUAUUUAAUUUUCACGCACUAAAUACCAAAUUCUGGCCGCACCGAUGCUGCACCUGCUUUCCACGUCCUUUCAUCCAAGCACAGAUGCUGACACCCAGUGGCCAUGGAAUUUCCAGCUCCCGUACAAGAGGGAAAAUUUCAGCACGGAUGCCUCAGCCGGUGAGAUACAUCAUCCGCCUUUCCAUUUCCUCAAGUGCAAGAGGAGUAAAGAGUUCCUGGGAGAUCACAGAAUGGUUAAAAUCAUCCUGGAGGAAUCUGCACAGACACACCCUGCUGCAUAUCUGGGAGUGUGAGCUGCAUCGUGACCAACAUCAGGCCCAAGGGCCCCUUUCCACGCCCUUGCAUUUGCAAUGCAUGGCUGAAACUGGACUUUCCACCUCUGCAGGCUCCCAUGGGAUGGCUGGGGCUAACCCCAUUUCUGUGGUGGCUGAGCAUGGCCUGGCAGCCUUGGCUUUGCUGACUCAGGCAGAUGAAGCAGAUGAGCUGUUCCAGCAAGCAGCUGGGCUCCACAGCACUGCCAGCCUGAUGGAUUGCUCCUUCUCUCUUCCUGGUCUCUUGAGCUGGCAAGCCCUCUAGCACUCCCGCCUUAGGAUUGUACAAAAAAAUCCCUUUUUUCUUUCAGGAUACCAGUCUGUAUUUUAGGUUGUUGGGAAAGAUCCUCGGCAUAUUUUUCCUCAGUACCUUGUGCCAACCAAACAGCUCCCACUGCUGGGUUUCUCCUCUCCCCAUUCCAUUUACCUUCCUAAGUGUGCAGCAGCUUUCAUCUUCUAAGCACUCACAAAAUAUGUUCCAGCAACCCUUUCUGUGCCGUGCCUGCUACUGCCCUGCUGCACACCAGUGAGAGAAAACUGACAAUUUUAUUAAAGAGCUGAGUUAGAGUCAACCAUAUCUAAAAGAGAGAAGCAAAUGGUACUUAAAACACACUUCUGGAUAGAGGGAAUGUUGGAACAUUAGGAUAAUUAGUGAAAUUUCACUUUUAUUUGUUCACCACUCUGCAUCCCUAAGGAUCUGUUGUCUCAGGUCAAGUCCCAUAAAGCUGCUUUUGAAAAGUGUAAAUUUUUUUUCCUUUUACAGUGAGGAAUGUUAUUGAAAUAUUUUGGGCAGCAAACACCCAGCCCUCUGACAGAAAUUACCCCUCCAUGGCUGCUGCCGCUGCUGUUACAUUUCAAAACACAUUCCCAUUCAAACCACUGAAACAUUCUGGUUUUUCAUGGAAAACUGGAACUGCUUUGGUUCCACUCCUCCUUGAAAUGCAAACAUAAACCUGUGCAGGAAGUAAAGGCAGAACAAUAGCCCUGGUUUGAGAGGACUAAUUCAUGCUUUGCCCUACCUUCC